GAUGAAGAACGUAUCGAAAUGCGAUAAGUAGUGUGAAUUGCAGAAUUCAGUGAAUCAUCGAAUCUUUGAACGCACAUUGCGCCCUUUGGUAUUCCAAAGGGCAUGCCUGUUCGAGCGUCAUUUGUACCCUCAAGCUUUGCUUGGUGUUGGGCGUCUUGUCUCUAGCUUUGCUGGAGACUCGCCUUAAAGUAAUUGGCAGCCGGCCUACUGGUUUCGGAGCGCAGCACAAGUCGCACUCUCUAUCAGCAAAGGUCUAGCAUCCAUUAAGCCUUUUUUUCAACUUUUGACCUCGGAUCAGGUAGGGAUACCCGCUGAACUUAAGCAUAUCAAUAAGCGGAGA
rnacentral:misc_RNA from 1 species